rnacentral:rRNA from 1 species
AUUUUCGCAAUUUUUGUUAUAGCCCUUGCGGCUGCUGAAGCCGCUAUUGGACUAUCCAUUCUUUCUUCCAUCCAUCGUAAUAGGAAAUCCACUCGUAUCAAUCAUUCUAAUUUAUUGAAUAAUUAG